ACAUCUCCUGCCAACAUGUCCUACAGCUGCUGCUCUGGAAACUUCUCCUCCCGCUCCCUUGGGGGGCUCCUUGCGCUACCCGGGCUCCUCCUGCGGCUCUUACCCCAGCAACCUGGUCUACCGCACCUGCCAGCUGGGCUCCUCCCUCUCCAGUGGCUGUCAGGAGACCUGCUGUGAGCCCACCAGCUGCCAGACAUCCUGUGUGGUGUCCAGCCCCAGCCAGACGUCCUGCUACCGCCCAAGGACCUCCACGCUCUGCAGUCCCUGCCAGACAACUUGCUCUGGGUCUGUGGGCAUUGGGUCCAGCAGCUGCCGUUCCCUGGGCUAUGGAUCCAGAAGCUGCUACUCCCUGGGCUGUGGAUCCCAGGGCUUCAGACCCCUGGGUUUUAGAGUCCAUGGUUACCCUUCUCUGAGCUAUGGAUCCAGUUUCUAUCUCCCAAUCUAUUUUCCUUUCAGGAGUUUCCAUUCAUCUUGUUACUGGCCACACUACAGAUCUGGCUCCUACUGA